GAAAAAAAAUGCUUGCAUGAGCAGUGACAGCCACCACAAAUACCAGGAAGCAGACUGCCCAGUACUGACCACACCACUGUCUGACUGGGAAGUGAUCUCUGGGAAAUGAGCUAAAGGACAAAAACACAGAUCCAAACUCUUCUUUCAUGAGUGAGACUAAAAAGACAUCAUGGAUUCAGUGUUUAUGUUAAUUACUGAGAUAAAAGCAAUGUCCAUCAGUCCACCUUCCUACUGACCUCCACUUACAUCCAAGGAAACUGCUGACAAAGCUCCCUCGGUGGACAAAGAACCUUCAUUGCAAGUUAAUUGAUUUCAUCAUCGCGAGAUUCAUAUCCAAUUAUCACACCUACACUGGCAGCUGCGCCCGAAGACAAUCUAUUCCCAUGCGUAAAAAUGUCCAGGAGAGCUCCAAAUAACGCAAGAAACCUUUACAGUAUGAAUUCCGAGACUUAUACUGACUGCAGAGA